GUGAGUCAUCGAAUCUUUGAACGCACAUUGCGCCCAUUAGUAUUCUAGUGGGCAUGCCUGUUCGAGCGUCAUUAAAUCCACUUAAGCCUAGCUUAGUGUUGGGAAUCUACUGUUUAUUGUAGUUCCUCAAAGCGAGCGGCGGAGUUGUGAUAUCCUCUGAGCUUAGUAGUUUCUAUUCUAGCUUUCGAGUGGGAUCACUCCCCUUGCCGUUAAACACCCUUCUUUCUGAAUGGUUGACCUCGGAUCAGGUAGGAAUACCCGCUGAACUUAAGCAUAUCAAUAAGCGGAGGA
rnacentral:misc_RNA from 1 species